rnacentral:lncRNA from 1 species
GCUGGUGUGAGGGUCUCUCUGCUCCUGGAGAUCCACAGACAGUUUUGGUUGGAGAAAGGGACAGACAAACUGCUCUUCAUGUAGAGAGAUGGGACCAGCUGCACUCCCCCAGCUCUCCCUUGCAGCAUUAGGAGCCCAAAGGACCUUGCUGGAACACCCGUAAUAGAGCUCAGUCCUGAACUGAACCAACACAUCACCUGGCUCUCGUAUAAAAGUGGUGCUAUGAGGGGGAGCCUGGGUGCACCAGGUGGGGUGUAGGCAGAUGUGGGGAGUUCAGCCCCAGGAGAGAGAGAAGAAUCACUCCUCAAUACCAUAUGCUCCUCCUCUUUCUCAAACCUCCUUGGCCCCUCUUUUUUUCUACCUCCCUUCAGCCAACUCCACUCCUGGGCACCUUAUCCCCUCCAAUCUGAGAAGACAUGGGCAGAUCCAAGAGACCAAGGGGACUGAGGCAUCCUAGUCAGUGUCUCAACAGAACUGGGGAAGCUCCUCUCUCCCCUCCUGACGUAGGACUUUUCAUGGAGAGGAACCAUAUCAUAUAUUCACCAUCCCCACUGGAAACAAGAGGAAAAGGGAUCAGAUUUUACCAGAAAGGAUAGAGCUUAGACAUAUGGAAAAACUUACUCAUGGGCUGUAAGACUUCAGAAUGGGCCUACUUCUCAUCAGAGAUUUUUCUUCUGCCUGGGAUGUGUUUAAGUCUACCUAAGGGGCACUGGAAAAACAGGGUUACUUUUCUGGGGCUCCUCCAGAUGUAGGUCCCUGUGCAGUUUCCACACAGUGCACCCCUCCUCAGCCCUUCUAAAUGUAUGUGUGGUGGUUAGAUCGCAAGUUUUGGAAGCAGACAGCCUUGGGUUCUAGUCCCAGCACUGCCAUUUAUCAGCUGUGCUACCUUGGUAAGUCACUUAACCUUUUUGAGCCCUAAUUUCCUUGUCUGUGAAAUGCAGAUAAACAAUCUCUUAAGGUUGUAGAGAGAAUUUAGUGAAAUAAUGUGCAUAGAGCACCUAGGACAGUGCCUCAUACUCAGUGGGUGCUUAGUCAACCAUUGAUGCAAUAGUCUAUUACUUUUAUGCAGUCAGCAGGGCUGAAAUUGCUUCAAAGACUCCAUGAGUCCCCUGAAAUUGUAGGCCAAAUGUGUUUAUGUGCAUAUACUGGGGAGAAUGUCCAUACUUUUCUUCAUGAUGUGGGGGGGGGGGGGGGGUGCCAGUCUCCUGGAAAGGAAGUAGCCCCAAUCUCUUGACUCAGACUCCCCAAGAAGUCAGUUCCGUCAUUCCCAUGCCUCUCAAGCCAGGAGCACCUUAGGCAGUGUUCUUCUACCUGGAAGUACAGCUUCAUCUAAGAUGGAGCUGGGGAGAGACAGCCAUUAGGAUAGCAACACCUUGCAUUUGCCAGGCACUUUACAGUUUGUCAAGUACAUUUACCUACAUUUGCUCUUUUGAUACCCAGAACAUGACAGUAAAGUGAAGCGAACUAUCAUUUAUUGAGUGUCUAAUAUGUGCCAGGCAUUGUGCUAGGUGUAUUUUUUUUAAGUAUGUUUAAAGUCUGUAAAGUGUUUCGUCACCUAGAUAUGCUGUGAUUUAUAACGCUCAUCUCCUAUUUUUAAUCAUUUAGAUAUUUUUACUGAAAUAAUAUCACAAUGAACAUCUUAAGAUAUAAAACUUCAUGCAUUUUUUAUAGUAAAUUCUAAGAAGUGGAAUUAUUGGGUCAACAGAUACAGAUAUCCUCCCCUCUCUAUAGUUAUGAUCAUUUUAUUGAUGAACCCUAAUGAGAAUAAUAUUUUUUAAUCUUCCUCUUUGGAAUUCUGCAAUGGAAACACAAGGGCAGCCCCUUCUCUCUCCUAUACCCAACAGAGACAUUAAUAAUCUAUCAUAGCUUUUUUUUAAUUGAAGUAAUUGUAGAUUCACAUGCAGUUGUAAGAAAUAAUACAGAGAGAUUCCAUGUACAUUUUAUCUACUUUCACCCAAUGGUAACAUUUUACAAAACUAUAGUAUAAUAUCACAACCAAAACAUUGACGUUGAUACAAUCCACCAGUCUUAUUCAGAUUUCCAGUUUUACUUGUUCUUGUGUGUGUAUUAAGUUCUAUGCAGUUUUAUUAUCUGUGUAAAUUCGUAUAUCUACCACUACAGUCAAGAUAAUUGAACAGGGGCUGGCCCCGUGGCCGAGUGGUUAAGUUCACAUGCUCCACUUUGGCGGCCCCGGGUUUCACCAGUUUGGAUCCUGGCCAUGGACGUGGCACGUCUCAUUAGGCCACACUGAGGUGGUGCCCCACAUGCCACAAGUAGAAGGACCCACAACUAAAAUAUACCACUAUGUACUGGGGGGAUUUGAGGAGAAAAAGCAGGAAAAAAAACCUGAACAGUUUUAACACCACAAAGAUUCCUCAUGUUGCCCUUUUAUAAUCAUGCCCAUCUCACCCCUCCUUAACCCUUGAGAACCACUAAUCUAUCCUCCACUUCUAAAAUUCUGUUGUUUCAAAAA